AUAUAUUAUAUAGUUUGUCAUGGCGAGGCGUAUGCGUAAAUCCAAAGGGUGUGAUUGCUGCACAGCUUGGUGUAUCAUCUUAACCAUUCUAAUCCUCGUCUUCGUCAUUGCAUUACUCUUGGUAUUGGAGGUAUACAAACCGAAAAUACCUAUAACGCAGAUCUGAUCAGACAUGAGACACCUUACUUGGCAUCGUAUAUACUUGCCGUUUGAUGUUCAGCUCGGUUCCACACUAACUAGUCUCCAUAUUCUGCUCGAGGCUUAAGCAUGAGACAGGUGCUUGAUCUUCUCUCAGAUAUGAGUGACAUAAUUGCAAGAUCUAUUUGGAGGAAAGAUUGUGUUAGAAACAAAGACAAAAGCUCCCAGGGGAAGUCAAAGCUGUUGUGAAUCUUCAAGGCACACACUUUAGUUGCUAUAUCGGAUUGUAAAAUCAAUAUGGACUUCCCUUCUAUCAAAGUGUAGAACCAAGAAUGUAAAAUGAGUGCUAAUUUGUAGAACUGAAGUCGUCUUUUUGGUAAACAUAUAGGGAAAAGGAUUGAUUUUUAUGUCAGCUCCAUUGUAUAUUUCUCAUUCUCUCUCGAUCCUAAGUUCAUUCUGAAUCUUAGAUUGAAAUUUCUCAAAGACUAGAGAAGCUACAAAGAUCAUUACCAGAAAGAGGGAAAGAACAAAAGCAUUCAUCUAUUAGCUCAUUGUCUCAACUCCAAAGAAAACAUUUUUACCAAUUGAAUCUCACAAAACAA